CACACACAUGUGCACACACCCCCCACCCGCCUGCACCUGCUGUCAGACGGAGGGCAGAAGCCACCGGAGACGGAGGGCCCCGGGGGCCUGGGCGCUGAGGCAGGAAACGGGGUGCCGCUGCACCCGUGGCCUCCCCAGAAGCCGAUUCUCCCACAUACAGUGUUCUUUGUUUUCAUUAGGGAGAAUCUCACUUAAAAUAAUUACAGCUACAACAACAACAACAAAAAAAUCACAGAAGAGAGAAAAAACGGAGUUCAGUUAAAUGCAGAUUUAUUCAGGAUGAUGUUAUGAACUCUGCUCAACGCCUCUAAAAGUACCCAUUAAUGACUACACACUAAUUACCCACCUUUGUAUUGUUCUAGAAAGGAAGAGAUUCAUUCUCCCUGGAGCGGAAUAGGUAUCCGGUGAGAGGAUGCCCCGCGCGUGCUUUAGGGCGGACCAAAACAGCCCUCCUUUUUGGCAAAAUCAUGAAGAGGCCGGGACGGCUCCACAGAGCUUUGCCCUAAAACGCCACCUCGAAAAUGAACGCUCUUUUCCCUUCUGGAGGUUUUCCCUGCCUUCAUCAGAACAGGGUCUGGAAAGCCCCAGCGUUCAAGAUUUCCGUCCCUGCCAGGAAUGAAGAAGACCGUCUCGUGGCCUGGGAAAUGGGGGUCGGGUGUUCGAGGAGCACCCGAGUCCCUGGAAGACCGGGGGGUCGUCCCCAGCAGGCAGAUUAUUCCACUUGGCACCCCAGUGGCCAUGACGGCCCUACCGCGUCUUGGCCGAAGCCUCGAGGUCUUCUGACCCAGACACGUACCAUUUUCCUUGCGCCCUGGCCGACGAUCGCCGGCCGCCAGGGAGAGUUAGAACACCUGAGACGUGAGAUUUUUAAGUUUAUUGCAUUUGGGGGGUUUAUUCAUUCCUUCAGCUGCUAGCGUGCAUUUCCGGAGCAUCUCGCAGGUGAGGGCGCCGUGCGUGGCACGGGGCGAGGACCAGGGAAGGAACACGCGCGGGGCCGGCGGCUUUGGGGAACUUGGAGCCUGGCGGGGAGCUCACCACAGCGCAGUCACCUCAUUCUGGCUCUGCUGGGAGGGAGGCCGUGUGUCUGCUGGUGGGUCAUUCCAUCGGAGUCCUCCAAGAUCCAGGAGGGGACGGAGACCUGACUGUUCGGUCCCAAGAGCCAGGAGGCACUCAAUGGCAGGUGCACGCACGAGCACGCAACAUGGAGAGAGCAGGACAUCUGGGAGUCACAUGGUCUCUGUGCCCAGGAAGUCACCCAGGAGGCAGCCCGGGAUUAGGGCACGGCCCCGCCUCCUGACACCAUCCCCCUGGGGCUGGAGGAGACAACAACUCGGGUCAAUGACAUCGUCUUCCUACUUCACUGCUGUCCUGAUGUCCCCGGAGGAUGUGCACCUGGUGUGGAGCUGGACGGGGCUCAGAAUUCCCGAAAGCCUGCCCUUUGUCAUCCUGGUGAAGUCUGUCUCGGGACUCGGGACUCGGGCGUCCCAGAGCUGAGAACUGGGCGGAGCUCUGGUCCCGCCACCCCACCCCCGUGACCCACACCCGCGAUUCGCUCCCUGUGCUUUUCGCCACUGGUAUCAGUUCAGGCCUCCCCACCUCCCCUCGAUGGUGGCCCUGCCUCCCGGCUGGUCGCCUGGCUUUCCAUCCCGCCUGCGUCCGCCACGUGCCAGUGUGACUGAGCUCUCCCCGCCGCGCACAGGCCAAGAGCACCCUCCUUGAAGGGCACCCUCCCCAUCUUGCCCCGCCCACCUCCCUCCCUUCCCCAUCAGGGCUCUGCACUGGGCACGGCUCACCUACCUGUGGUUCUCAUACCCACGACCCCGCUCCGUGAGCACCUUCUCCUCCGCCCAGAGAGCCCGUUUCCAUCCCUGGUGUGUUUGGGGGGGGGGGUUGCGGGGGGGGCGCGCUUCCCUCCCGAACCCGCCUCUGACCCGAGGACCCCCUCUCUUGAAGCCUGAGUCUCCCUGCCUGCUUUUCCAUUUCUUCCCUCAAAGCUCCGGUUAUGAGGGAGGUGAACACCCAAGAGGUGGUUUUUGCUCUGUAGAAGAGAUGUGUUCCAACCAAGUUGGCUGAUAAGUGAUUUUCUGCAAGCAAAGUGAUUGGACGGGUGUUCCCAUGGCAACCGAGACCUUCCUGGAAACGUCUGGAGGGGGUACAGGAGGAGAGGGGCCGGCUCUGGAUCUGCUGGGCCGGCCAGGCGGGAAGGCGGUGCCGCCUGGAGAUCCCCCCCCCACCGCCCUGACUCUGGGUCCUCCCUCUCUCUCUGUCCCCUCCUGUUCCUCGGGCCACAGAGAUCAUUUCACGCUGGAACGCGUCCUGAGCGACACUCACCGUUCCCGGGAUCUGUCCUCUGUCUCUCUGUCUCUCUGUCUCUCCAUUAACAGAAACUGUGCUUUCCGACACCGUGAUGUUUUACAACGCAGCCGGUGACAAUUUACAAACCGCGAGCGCUGCCAUGGGAUGCUCUGAAAACGCCCUUUGGAGGCGGAUGAUGUACACAUCCCAUUUCACAGAUGUGGGGACUGAGGCCGGCACCGGAGAAGGGACUGGCGGUGCAGAGAGGCCAGAGGAAAACACUUAGGUCUAUUGUACGAAGACCCAAGAGUCAUUGCUUAGAGAAAAGCCAGAAAAGUCGGGAAUCUGGAGCCUUGCCUCCGGGAGUUCCUCACGCUUUGGAAAAGGAUUCGCAACCUACUGUGUGUUUGGCAGUAAAAUUU